CAUUACAGGUUUUACACUGACACUUAACUAACUCUGGAGAAGACACACACUAUAUAAUAACCUAAAAGGACAAGUCACUGAGCGGAGAAGUGCCUGAAAGAACAUGUACCAAAUUACAGCUACAGUGCUUCAGUGUUCGCAGCCUCUUACAGAGAAUCUCUUCUGACACUCAGAAAACGAGAAAGAAACCCGCCGUAAACUCGAGCAACUUGCCUCACAAGACGCUGAAAUGCUUUUAUUAAACUCGGCCCGAUGAAGCUGUGUUCCUCCGCCUGUUGCUAGCUGCCCAAAGCCGUGUUAAUUUAACUUACCUUCCAGUCUCCGCCGCCGCUGCCGCCGCCGCUCCUCCCCGGGCCGCCUUCGACACCCGAGACCGCCGCCGGACCUCCGGAGGGCCGUGGAGCUGCAAGAGGAGAAGCCGAGAGGGGUCCAGCUACUGCCAGGGAGACGAAGAGCCAGCUGCACCGAGGCCCCGGGCCUUCUGUGUCCUCGAAAUAGCGCUCUUGGGGAGGGAUAGCGAGCCUGGGCCCUCCGCCGCCUGACAGAGACUCCGGAAUACCUUUUUGACAGCUCCUCGUCGGUCGCCCCCCCCUCCCCUGGACGGCCCUUCACUUUUCUCUUUUUCCUCACUUCCAGCAGAUACGAAUCAAAA